GGGGAUUUAGCUCAGCGGUAGAGCACUUGCCUAGCAAGCACAAGUCCCCA
rnacentral:tRNA from 1 species